rnacentral:rRNA from 1 species
UCAGGCCUAACACAUGCAAGUCGAGGGGCAGCAUAAUAAAAGCUUGCUUUUAUGGUGGCGACCGGCGCACGGGUGCGUAACGCGUAUGCAACCUACCUUAUACUGGGGUAUAGCCCGGAGAAAUUCGGAUUAAUCCCCCAUAGUAUCAAUUAUUCGCAUGUUUGAUUGAUUAAAGGUUACGGUAUAAGAUGGGCAUGCGUCCCAUUAGCUAGAUGGUGAGGUAACGGCUCACCAUGGCGACGAUGGGUAGGGGGCCUGAGAGGGUGGUCCCCCACACUGGUACUGAGACACGGACCAGACUCCUACGGGAGGCAGCAGUGAGGAAUAUUGGUCAAUGGGCGAGAGCCUGAAAGAGCCAUGCCGCGUGCAGGAAGACGGUCCUAUGG